AUAAAAGGUACAGGUGGUGACAUUUGGCAUCACAAAGCCAGAUACUUCCACUGAGAGGACAGAUGGGUUACUUCUUGUACUUCUCCGCUGAGACAUGGACUCUGCUGGUUGCCUUUGUCACGCUCCUCCUUGUGUACGCCUACUGGCCUUAUGGAACUUUCAAGAAAUUAGGUAUCUCUGGUCCUAAACCUGUCCCAUUCUUUG